UACGUAGGUGGCAAGCGUUAUCCGGAUUUACUGGGUGUAAAGGGCGUGUAGGCGGGGACGCAAGUCAGAUGUGAAAACCACAGGCUCAACCUGUGGCCUGCAUUUGAAACUGUGUUUCUUGAGUACUGGAGAGGCAGACGGAAUUCCUAGUGUAGCGGUGAAAUGCGUAGAUAUUAGGAGGAACACCAGUGGCGAAGGCGGUCUGCUGGACAGCAACUGACGCUGAGGCGCAAAAGCGUGGGGAGCAAACAGG
rnacentral:rRNA from 1 species